rnacentral:rRNA from 1 species
GGAACGUUAAGGGCGUCGAGCGGCGGACGGGUGAGUAAUGCCUAGGAAAUUGCCCUGAUGUGGGGGAUAACCAUUGGAAACGAUGGCUAAUACCGCAUAAUGCCUACGGGCCAAAGAGGGGGACCUUCGGGCCUCUCGCGUCAGGAUAUGCCUAGGUGGGAUUAGCUAGUUGGUGAGGUAAUGGCUCACCAAGGCGACGAUCCCUAGCUGGUCUGAGAGGAUGAUCAGCCACACUGGAACUGAGACACGGUCCAGACUCCUACGGGAGGCAGCAGUGGGGAAUAUUGCACAAUGGGCGCAAGCCUGAUGCAGCCAUGCCGCGUGUGUGAAGAAGGCCUUCGGGUUGUAAAGCACUUUCAGUCGUGAGGAAGGUGGUGGAGUUAAUAGCUGCAUUAUUUGACGUUAGCGACAGAAGAAGCACCGGCUAACUCCGUGCCAGCAGCCGCGGUAAUACGGAGGGUGCGAGCGUUAAUCGGAAUUACUGGGCGUAAAGCGCAUGCAGGUGGUUUGUUAAGUCAGAUGUGAAAGCCCGGGGCUCAACCUCGGAAUAGCAUUUGAAACUGGCAGACUAGAGUACUGUAGAGGGGGGUAGAAUUUCAGGUGUAGCGGUGAAAUGCGUAGAGAUCUGAAGGAAUACCGGUGGCGAAGGCGGCCCCCUGGACAGAUACUGACACUCAGAUGCGAAAGCGUGGGGAGCAAACAGGAUUAGAUACCCUGGUAGUCCACGCCGUAAACGAUGUCUACUUGGAGGUUGUGGCCUUGAGCCGUGGCUUUCGGAGCUAACGCGUUAAGUAGACCGCCUGGGGAGUACGGUCGCAAGAUUAAAACUCAAAUGAAUUGACGGGGGCCCGCACAAGCGGUGGAGCAUGUGGUUUAAUUCGAUGCAACGCGAAGAACCUUACCUACUCUUGACAUCCAGAGAACUUUUCAGAGAUGAAUUGGUGCCUUCGGGAACUCUGAGACAGGUGCUGCAUGGCUGUCGUCAGCUCGUGUUGUGAAAUGUUGGGUUAAGUCCCGCAACGAGCGCAACCCUUAUCCUUGUUUGCCAGCGAGUAAUGUGGGAACUCCAGGGAGACUGCCGGUGAUAAACCGGAGGAAGGUGGGGACGACGUCAAGUCAUCAUGGCCCUUACGAGUAGGGCUACACACGUGCUACAAUGGCGCAUACAGAGGGCAGCAAGCUAGCGAUAGUGAGCGAAUCCCAAAAAGUGCGUCGUAGUCCGGAUUGGAGUCUGCAACUCGACUCCAUGAAGUCGGAAUCGCUAGUAAUCGUGGAUCAGAAUGCCACGGUGAAUACGUUCCCGGGCCUUGUACACACCGCCCGUCACACCAUGGGAGUGGGCUGCAAAAGAAGUAGGUAGUUUAACCUUCGGGAGG